CAGCAGCCGCGGGAAUACGUAGGGUGCAAGCGUUGUCCGGAAUUAUUGGGCGUAAAGAGCUCGUAGGCGGUUUGUCGCGUCUGCUGUGAAAACGCGAGGCUCAACCUCGCGCCUGCAGUGGGUACGGGCAGACUAGAGUGUGGUAGGGGAGAUUGGAAUUCCUGGUGUAGCGGUGGAAUGCGCAGAUAUCAGGAGGAACACCGAUGGCGAAGGCAGAUCUCUGGGCCAUUACUGACGCUGAGGAGCGAAAGCGUGGGGAGCGAACAGGAUUAGAUACCCCUGUAGUCCCUGUCUCUUAUAA
rnacentral:rRNA from 1 species